rnacentral:ncRNA from 2 species
UUCCUAUCAAGAGUUCAGGGAGGGACUAGACCCGAUGAUCUGACACCAACGUACCCAAUUGGGCGAUGUGGUAACUUCUAGCAGAUGGGCG